CCAGUAGAAGGAGCACUGAUAGAUGAUGGAAAGUAGCUUGGCUAUCACCAAACUUUUGCGUUUCUGAUUUUCUCUCCGUAACAUCUUAAUGACAUCAUUGUAUUCUUUCUGAGUUGCCAGUCCCUUCUUCCACAGGAGGUAGAUUCUCUUUUUCUCCUAGAACCUCAAGAAUAGCUUCCCAUUCAUCCACGCCAGUCUUCUUCCGCGCCAGCUCAUUUUGCGGCUCAUGGGGACAGCCUGCUCCUGCGCCUUUAAGACUUCUUUCUUGAAGAGCUACCAGCCAUCUUGGACGCCUUUACUCUCCAAGACUGAAUCCCAGAGGACUCCCUCUACUAGUCUUCUGAACAGUUCAAAAUCUGCCCUCCAGAAGUCCAAGGUAGUGGUUUUGCCGUUCCCCCUCCUGACUCCACCAAGAAUCGAGAACUCUACCAUGUCAUGGUCACUCUGUCCAAGACAGCCCCCGACCUCCACAUCUCCCACCAGACCUCAUCUGUUUGUGAACAGCAGGUCUAAUGGGGCAGCUCCUCUUAUAGGCUCUCUCACCAGCUGCAUCAGGAAGUUAUCCUCCACACGCUCCAGAAACCUUCUAGACUGCUUCUUCUGCACUAUGUUGUAUUCCCAGCAUAUGUCAGGGAAGUUGAAGUCCCCCAUGAGGACAAGGGCUGGAAAUUGCACAGCUUCCAGCAGUUGCUUGUAGAACAUCUCAUCUGUCUCUUAAUCCUGGUUCAGCAGUCUAUAACAGAUGCCCACCAGGAUGUCUGCCUUGUCAGUACUUCCCCUGAUCUUUACCUAUAGGGAUUCAACCUUAUCAUCUCCAGCUAUAAGCUCAGUAACAUCAAAGGACUCUCUAACAUAGAGAGCCACGAUGCCACCUCUCCUUCCCUGCCUAUCCUUCCUGAAGAGUCUGUAGCAUCCAUCACAGUACUCCAGUCAUGGGAGCAGUCCCACCAUGUUUCCGUAAUGGCAACUAGGUUAUAGCUUGCCUGUUGCACAAUGGCUUCCAACUCUUCUUGUUUGUUGCCCAUGCUGCAUGCAUUAGUGUAGACACACUUCACCUGAGUCUCUCACCUCAUCCCUAAUCCCAUUAUCACCCCCCCAGGCUCAUCUCUAGCAGGCCUGGUUUUAUCCGCUUCCCCCUUCAUAUCUAGUUUAAAGCCCUCUCUACAAGUCCCGCCAGCUCAUGGGCAAGGAUCCGUUUCCUCUUUGAGACAGGUGAUACCCAUCUGCAGACCUCAGGUCAGGUGCCGAGUAGACCGUUCCAUGAUCAAAGAACCCAAAAUUCUUGCAGAUGCACCAGCCUCUCAGCCAUGUGUUUAUGUGAUGGGUUUUCCUGUCAUUGCAGUUUCCUUUCCUGUCAUUGUAGGAAUACAGGUAAAUACUACUUGCAUGCUUGCUCCAUCAGCUAACCUCCCCAGUCCCCUAAAAUCAUUUUUUAUAGUCCUCAGGCUUCUGUCAGCGACCUCAUCACUGCCAGCCUGAACUAUCAAUAAAGGAUAGUAAUCAGAGGGGCAGAUCAAACUGGGAAGUUUUCUAAAAAUAUCCCUGAUCCGGGCCCCAGGGAGGCAGCACACCUCCCUAUGGGUAGGGUCAGGCCGACAUAUUGGGUCCUCUGUUCCUCUCAGAAGGGAGUCACCUACGACUAUCACCCUCCUUUCUUUUCUGGAGGAGGCAGUCUUCAGACAUGGAGCUGACCGCCUCACCUUAGACAAGCUUGGAGGUGGUCCUCCCACCUCAUCCUCACUCAC
ensembl:lncRNA